CCUACGGGAGGCUGCAGUGGGGAAUAUUGGACAAUGGGGGGAACCCUGAUCCAGCCAUGCCGCGUGUGUGAAGAAGGCCCUCGGGUUGUAAAGCACUUUCAGUGAGGAAGAACGCCUGGUGGUUAAUACCCAUCAGGAAAGACAUCACUCACAGAAGAAGCACCGGCUAACUCCGUGCCAGCAGCCGCGGUAAUACGGAGGGUGCGAGCGUUAAUCGGAAUUACUGGGCGUAAAGCGCGCGUAGGUGGCUUGAUAAGCCGGUUGUGAAAGCCCCGGGCUCAACCUGGGAACGGCAUCCGGAACUGUCAAGCUAGAGUGCAGGAGUGGAAGGUAGAAUUCCCGGUGUAGCGGUGAAAUGCGUAGAGAUCGGGAGGAAUACCAGUGGCGAAGGCGGCCUUCUGGACUGACACUGACACUGAGGUGCGAAAGCGUGGGUAGCAAACAGGAUUAGAUACCCCAGUAGUC
rnacentral:rRNA from 1 species